AUUGAACGCUGGCGGCAGGCCUAACACAUGCAAGUCGAACGAGUGGCGGACGGGUGAGUAAUGUCUGGGAAACUGCCUGAUGGAGGGGGCUAACUACUGGAAACGGUAGCUAAUACCGCAUACCGUCAUUUCUGCCCAGAUGGGAUUAGCUAGUUGGUGGGGUAACGGCUCACCAAGGCGACGAUGCCUAGCUGGUCUGAGAGGAUGACCAGCCACACUGGAACUGAGACACGGUCCAGACUCCUACGGGAGGCAGCAGUGGGGAAUAUUGCACAAUGGGCGCAAGCCUGAUGCAGCCAUGCCGCGUGUAUGAAGAAGGCCUUCGGGUUGUAAAGUACUUUCAGCGGGGAGGCGUUACCCGCAGAAGAAGCACCGGCUAACUCCGUGCCAGCAGCCGCGGUAAUAC
rnacentral:rRNA from 1 species